GAGUAAUGUCUGGGAAACUGCCUGAUGGAGGGGGAUAACUACUGGAAACGGUAGCUAAUACCGCAUAACGUCGCAAGACCAAAGAGGGGGACCUUCGGGCCUCUUGCCAUCGGAUGUGCCCAGAUGGGAUUAGCUAGUAGGUGGGGUAACGGCUCACCUAGGCGACGAUCCCUAGCUGGUCUGAGAGGAUGACCAGCCACACUGGAACUGAGACACGGUCCAGACUCCUACGGGAGGCAGCAGUGGGGAAUAUUGCACAAUGGGCGCAAGCCUGAUGCAGCCAUGCCGCGUGUAUGAAGAAGGCCUUCGGGUUGUAAAGUACUUUCAGCGGGGAGGAAGGGAGUAAAGUUAAUACCUUUGCUCAUUGACGUUACCCGCAGAAGAAGCACCGGCUAACUCCGUGCCAGCAGCCGCGGUAAUACGGAGGGUGCAAGCGUUAAUCGGAAUUACUGGGCGUAAAGCGCACGCAGGCGGUUUGUUAAGUCAGAUGUGAAAUCCCCGGGCUCAACCUGGGAACUGCAUCUGAUACUGGCAAGCUUGAGUCUCGUAGAGGGGGGUAGAAUUCCAGGUGUAGCGGUGAAAUGCGUAGAGAUCUGGAG
rnacentral:rRNA from 1 species